rnacentral:rRNA from 1 species
CCCUUAGAUGUUCUGGGCUGCACGCGCGCUACACUGAAGCGUUCAACGAGUAUUCACCUUGCCCGGGAGGGUUGGGUAAUCUUUUGAAAACGCUUCGUGAUGGGGAUAGAUUAUUGCAAUUAUUAAUCUUCAACGAGGAAUUCCUAGUAAGCGCGAGUCAUCAGCUCGUGCUGAUUACGUCCCUGCCCUUUGUACACACCGCCCGUCGCUACUACCGAUUGAGUGAUCCGGUGAAUAAUUCGGACUGCAGCACUGCUUGGUCUCCAGGCUUUGCAGCGGAAAGUUUAGUGAACCUUAUCACUUAGAGGAAGGAGAAGUCGUAACA